UACUCCCUUCGUUGCACAAUACAUGCCUUCUAUUUGUCAAAAUAUAUAUGUAUCUAGACAUAUUUUAGUAUAUAGGUACAUCCAUUUUUGGACAAAUGGAAGUCAAGUAUUUUGGGACAGAGGGAGUACACA
rnacentral:pre_miRNA from 1 species